rnacentral:lncRNA from 1 species
AGGUUCUUCCAUUUAUUUAAUCUGUCAUGUGAAGCAUUAGAAGGUAGUUUACUUGCAUUUGAGGAUCAAAAAAUCCCCAUUAACUGUGGAAGCAAUGAUAUUCCCUUUAAUUAUUUUUCUAAUUGCCUUGUUUAUAUGGUGUGAAAAGCAAUUUAAACAUGUUUUAAAAAAUGUUUCCAUGCAACCUAAGUUUUGGCCAUGAAACAGCACCUUCCUUGUACUUCUCCAGCUGUUGUCCUUUCAAAGCAGGGGAUGCUAUUCUUCUUGAACCUGAAAAACAGAAUGUCAGUGUGUUCUGUGAAUUUCCUGUGAUUUUCACCAGUGGAACACAUGCCCAGAACCAAGCUGAGUACUUUCCAGAGCACAUUUUUCUAGGUGCUGGAGAGAGAAAAUAGGACAAGUUUCCAAAUGCUAAGGGGAUAUAAAGGAGAGGAUAAAUGCAGCAUGGGGACCAGCCAUAGAACUGUCAUGGAGUGGGACAACACUUGACUCCUUUCCAGUAGCAGAAUCUUCCCAGAGGACUUUUCCUAAGAAAAUGAUAUUUGUGUCCCUUUCAAAAUGACAUUUUUAAUUGCACCUAGGAAUGGGCUAUCAACAAACACCCUGCCUCCUUGUCCUGGUGGUUAUUUUGAUGAUUGAGAUGACUCAGCGUUAACCUUGAACAUUUCAAAACCAAGUACCAGGAAAUGUGGAGUGUCCUCUAAUGUCUUUUUAAACUUACAGGGUCUAGCCUAAUGAUAUUAGCUGAUUUGAUGGCAGAAAAUAGGCCUAUCUAAGCAUUCUGCAGACACUUGGAAGAAAUUAAUAAAUGUACCUCAUUCUAGUACAUGAGAAACACUAGGAUUAUUACAAUGAAGAAACAAAGGUAAGACACAAUAGAACAAGAAUGCAUUCCUUGGGACAAUGAAAACCAAAAAAAUAUAUAACUUUGGUUUUUUGUUCUAUAAUGAAGUUGUUUACAGAAUAAAACAAUAAGAAGAAUCAAUGGGAAAAUAAAAAGGAAAAUCCAGACAUUAAAGCAGCAUUUCAUGCCAUCAACAUGGGUGGCUUCUCCACCUUCCUCAAAGUAGAAUAGCAAACUUUUAAGUUCCCAAGGUGUUUACCUACUUAGCCACACAUACCAUGGGCCCACUUCUCAGUGGCUUUGAUAUACCUAGCAUGGUCUAAAGAAG